UGGGGAAUUUUGGACAAUGGGGGCAACCCUGAUCCAGCCAUCCCGCGUGUGCGAUGAAGGCCUUCGGGUUGUAAAGCACUUUUGGCAGGGAAGAAACAGCCUGGGCUAAUAUCCCGGGCGACUGACGGUACCUGCAGAAUAAGCACCGGCUAACUACGUGCCAGCAGCCGCGGUAAUACGUAGGGUGCAAGCGUUAAUCGGAAUCACUGGGCGUAAAGCGCGCGUAGGCCGUCUUUUAAGUCGGACGUGAAAGCCCUCGGCUCAACCGGGGAACUGCGUUCGAUACUGGGAGACUUGAGUCCUGGAGAGGGUGGCGGAAUUCCGGGUGUAGGAGUGAAAUCCGUAGAUAUCCGGAGGAACACCGGUGGCGAAGGCGGCCACCUGGACAGGUACUGACGCUGAGGCGCGAAAGCGUGGGGAGCAAACA
rnacentral:rRNA from 1 species